rnacentral:rRNA from 1 species
GACGAACGCUGGCGGCGUGCUUAACACAUGCAAGUCGAACGGAAAGGCCCUGCUUUUGUGGGGUGCUCGAGUGGCGAACGGGUGAGUAACACGUGAGUAACCUGCCCUUGACUUUGGGAUAACUUCAGGAAACUGGGGCUAAUACCGGAUAGGAGCUCCUGCUGCAUGGUGGGGGUUGGAAAGUUUCGGCGGUUGGGGAUGGACUCGCGGCUUAUCAGCUUGUUGGUGGGGUAGUGGCUUACCAAGGCUUUGACGGGUAGCCGGCCUGAGAGGGUGACCGGCCACAUUGGGACUGAGAUACGGCCCAGACUCCUACGGGACGCAGCAGUGGGGAAUAUUGCACAAUGGGCGGAAGCCUGAUGCAGCAACGCCGCGUGCGGGAUGACGGCCUUCGGGUUGUAAACCGCUUUCGCCUGUGACGAAGCGUGAGUGACGGUAAUGGGUAAAGAAGCACCGGCUAACUACGU